rnacentral:rRNA from 1 species
GACGAACGCUGGCGGCGUGCUUAACACAUGCAAGUCGAACGGAAAGGCCCUGCUUUCGUGGGGUGCCCGAGUGGCGAACGGGUGAGUAACAUGUGAGUAACCUGCCCUUGACUUUGGGACAACUUCAGGAAACUGGGGCUAAUACCGGAUAGGAGCUCCUGCUGCAUGGUGGGGGUCGGAAAGUUUCGGCGGUUGGGGAUGGACUCGCGGCUUACCAGCUUGUUGGUGGGGUAGUGGCUUACCAAGGCUUUGACGGGUAGCCGGCCUGGGAGGGUGACCGGCCACAUUGGGACUGCGAUACGGCCCAGACUCCUACGGGAGGCAGCGGGGGGGAGUAUUGCACAAUGGGCGGAAGCCUGAUGCGGCAGCGCCGCGUGCGGGAUGACGGCCUUCGGGUUGUAAACCGCUUUCGCCUGUGACGAAGCGUGAGUGACGGUAAUGGGUAAAGAAGCACCGGCUAACUACGUG